GCCGACAGCCAUACCACCCUGGAAACGCCUGAUCUCGUCUGAUCUUGGAAGCUAAGCUGGGUCGGGCUCGGUUAGUACUUGAAUGGAGACUGCCUGGGAAUACCGAGUGUUGUAGGUG
ensembl:rRNA 5S_rRNA 5S ribosomal RNA